rfam:Pelecanus crispus contig38337, whole genome shotgun sequence.
GCCGGGUUAGCUCAGUUGGUUGGAACACGGCGCUAAUAACGCCAAGGUCGCAGGUUCGAUCCCCGCUCACUGCA